UAUGAGUAAACGAUAAACCGAGUGAGAAACUCGGUCGCCGUAAGCCCAAGGUUUCCCGGGCCAGGAUCAUCCUCCCGGGGUUAGUCGGGACCUAAGCCGAGGCCACAUGGCGUAGGCGAUGGAAAUCGGGUUAAUAUUCCCGAACCAGCUUGGAUGUGUUGACGUCAGCAGGGACGAAGAAAGAUAGCUCAGCCGGGCGAUGGUUCCGGUUCAAGCUCGUAGGUGGAUUCCCCAGGACCGUUCCGGACAAACAGGGAGUCGAGACACCGAGAAGCGAUGAGGGAUGGACCGCCUCGGCGGAAAGUCAAACUGAGUGAUUCUAUGCUUCCGAGAAAAGCUGCGGGCCGAGCAUUCCGGCUGUCCGUACCGCAAACCGACUCAGGUGGGCGGGAAGAGUAUUCCAAGGCGUUUGAGAGAACCGUGGUUAAGGAACUAGGCAAAUUGACACCGUAACUUCGGGAUAAGGUGUGCCUCCGAGGUAGAGCUGAACAGGCCGAGCCAGAAGAGGUCGCAGAGAAUUGGGGGUAGCGACUGUUUACCAAAAACACAGGACUGUGCGAAGUCACGAAGACGACGUAUACGGUCUGACGCCUGCCCGGUGCUGGAAGGUUAAGAGGAGAGGUUAGAGCAAUCGAAGCUUUGAAUUGAAGCCCCAGUAAACGGCGGCCGUAACUAUAACGGUCCUAAGGUAGCGAAAUUCCUUGUCGGGUAAGUUCCGACCUGCACGAAUGGCGUAACGACUUCCCCGCUGUCUCAAAUGUGGACUCAGCGAAAUUGAAUUGUCUGUGAAGAUGCAGACUUCCCGCGGUUAGACGGAAAGACCCCAUGCACCUUUACUAUAGCUUCGCACUGGCAUCAGGAUUGUGAUGUGCAGGAUAGGUGGUAGGCAUUGAAACCGGGACGCCAGUUCCGGUGGAGCCAUCCUUGAGAUACCACCCUUCGCACUCUUGAUGUCUAACCGCGGCCCGUUAUCCGGGUCCGGGACCCUGCGUGGUGGGUAGUUUGACUGGGGCGGUCGCCUCCCAAAGAGUAACGGAGGCGCGCGAUGGUGGGCUCAGAGCGGUCGGAAAUCGCUCGUUGAGUGCAAUGGCAUAAGCCUGCCUGACUGCGAGACUGACAAGUCGAGCAGAGACGAAAGUCGGUCAUAGUGAUCCGGUGGUCCCGCGUGGAAGGGCCAUCGCUCAACGGAUAAAAGGUACGCCGGGGAUAACAGGCUGAUGAUGCCCAAGAGUCCAUAUCGACGGCAUCGUUUGGCACCUCGAUGUCGGCUCAUCUCAUCCUGGGGCUGGAGCAGGUCCCAAGGGUAUGGCUGUUCGCCAUUUAAAGAGGUACGUGAGCUGGGUUUAGAACGUCGUGAGACAGUUCGGUCCCUAUCUGCCGUGGGUGUAGGAUACUUGAGAGGAGUUGCCCCUAGUACGAGAGGACCGGGGUGAACGUUCCACUGGUGGACCAGUUGUCGUGCCAACGGCAGUGCUGGGUAGCUAUGAACGGACAGGAUAAACGCUGAAGGCAUCUAAGCGUGAAGCCCCCCUCAAAACAAGGUAUCCCUUGAGAGCCGUGGAAGACCACCACGUCGAUAGGCCGGAGAUGUAAGCGCAGCAAUGCGUUCAGUUGACCGGUACUAAUGGCUCGAUUGGCUUGAUU
rnacentral:rRNA from 1 species